rnacentral:rRNA from 1 species
UCGAGAAUUUUUCUCAAUGGGCGAAAGCUUGAAGGAGCGACGCCGCGUGGGGGAUGAAGGGCUUCGGUCUGUAAACCCCUGUCAUUUGCGAACAAACAUUCUUAUUUAAUCGAUAAGAAGCUGAUAGUAGCGAAAGAGGAAGGGACGGCUAACUCUGUGCCAGCAGCCGCGGUAAUACAGAGGUCCCCAGCGUUGUUCGGAUUCACUGGGCGUAAAGGGUGCGUAGGUGGCGGGGCAAGUUUGAUGUGAAAUCUCCGAGCUCAACUCGGAAACGGUAUUAAAUAGUGCUGUGCUGGAAGGUCGGAGGGGAGACUGGAAUUCUCGGUGUAGCGGUGAAAUGCGUAGAUAUCGAGAGGAACACCGGUGGCGAAAGCGAGUCUCUGGACGAUUCUUGACACUGAGGCACGAAAGCUAGGGGAGCAAACA